UACCGUGCCUGAGGCGCUGAGCCUGGGCGCUUUGCAUGGAGCCAACUCCAGGUCAUGUCACCACGGCUCUGGGAGGCCAGGGCGACCGCGGCCGUUGUUGCAGAAGGGGAAACUGAGGCACAGAGCAGCAAAUUCACCGGCCGAGUCCAGAUAGGAACCUGGGGUUCGGUCCAUAAGCAAGCCCAGCUGGCUUCAGUUCCCAAACGUGUCUGGGAUCCAGCUCCUUCCCGCCACCACCGUCCUCAGCUGGUCCAAGCCACCACCACCUCCACCCGCAGCAACAGAAAGGCCUCCGGACUGCCCUCCGGCGUCAGCUCCUGGCAUUCCCGGUCGCCGCCUGGCAGCCGGAGCGAUCUUUCCAAAGCAUAAGCUGGAUCGGGUCACUCGCUUCGUCUGACCUUCCCCUGAGACAGAAGAUGCAGGCACUUCCUGUUGUUCCCCAUGGGACACAGUUCCAUCCGCCCCUCCCACCUUAACCCACCUACUGUCUCCCCCUUCUCUGGGCUCCAGCCACUUUGGUUAUGUCUGUCGCUCAAGCACAUUAAGCUUAUUCCUGUCCCUGGGUCUUUGCACUUGCUUUGCCUGACUUGGAAUAAUCGUUCCUCCAGCUCCUUGCAAAGUUAUCACCUUACCAACUCGGUCACAGCCCAGCCUCCUCUGGUCUUCACUGACCACCAGCCAUAGCAGGGCCCCCAGUCACUCUCUGGACCUUCGUUUAAGACCUGACUCAUCAGAAAAGACCCUGAUGCUGGGAAAGAUUGAGGGCAGGAGGAGAAGGAAACGACAGAGGACAAGAUGGUUGGAUGGCAUCACCGACUCAGUGGACGUGAGUCUGAGUAAGCUCCUGGAUUUGGUGAUGGACAGGGAGG
ensembl:lncRNA